GCCAGGGUGGCGAAAUUGGCAGACGCGCCAGACUUAGGAUCUGGUGCCGAAAGGCGUGCAGGUUCGAGUCCUGUCCCUGGCA
rnacentral:tRNA from 1 species